rnacentral:rRNA from 1 species
GUGGGGAAUAUUGGACAAUGGGCGCAAGCCUGAUCCAGCCAUGCCGCGUGAGUGAUGAAGGCCCUAGGGUUGUAAAGCUCUUUCACCGGAGAAGAUAAUGACGGUAUCCGGAGAAGAAGCCCCGGCUAACUUCGUGCCAGCAGCCGCGGUAAUACGAAGGGGGCUAGCGUUGUUCGGCAUUACUGGGCGUAAAGCGCACGUAGGCGGACAUUUAAGUCAGGGGUGAAAUCCCGGGGCUCAACCCCGGAACUGCCUUUGAUACUGGGUGUCUGGAGUAUGGAAGAGGUAAGUGGAAUUCCGAGUGUAGAGGUGAAAUUCGUAGAUAUUCGGAGGAACACCAGUGGCGAAGGCGGCUUACUGGUCCAUUACUGACGCUGAGGUGCGAAAGCGUGGGGAACAAACAGGAUUAGAUACCCCUGUAGUCC